GACGAACGCUGGCGGCGUGCUUAACACAUGCAAGUCGAACGGAAAGGCCCUGCUUUUGUGGGGUGCUCGAGUGGCGAACGGGUGAGUAACACGUGAGUAACCUGCCCUUGACUUUGGGAUAACUUCAGGAAACUGGGGCUAAUACCGGAUAGGAGCUCCUGCUGCAUGGUGGGGGUUGGAAAGUUUCGGCGGUUGGGGAUGGACUCGCGGCUUAUCAGCUUGUUGGUGGGGUAGUGGCUUACCAAGGCUUUGACGGGUAGCCGGCCUGAGAGGGUGACCGGCCACAUUGGGACUGAGAUACGGCCCAGACUCCUACGGGAGGCAGCAGUGGGGAAUAUUGCACAAUGGGCGGAAGCCUGAUGCAGCAACGCCGCGUGCGGGAUGACGGCCUUCGGGUUGUAAACCGCUUUCGCCUGUGACGAGGCGUGAGUGACGGUAAUGGGUAAAGAAGCACCGGCUAACUACGUA
rnacentral:rRNA from 1 species